rnacentral:sRNA from 1 species
UAUUGUAUUGUGUGUAUGUAGCAACUCAGUGCAGAUAGUUUAACCAACUUGCUGAGAAUUUGUCUGUAAAUCAAGUAGAUAGCAUAUUAACUGAUAAGCUCGUUGCUAUAAUCGGCAGUAUGAUGACAUAUUGUUGAGGAUUGAAAACAGUCCCUUGGUGACAAAUGUGCUGACAUUACUGUACACAAAAUCACGGAAUCUUGUCGCUGUGGAAAUAGAUACUUGUAAAACACUACAAGUGGAAUCCUAGUUAGGUGUAAGCUGAUUACUUAUGCAAACCUAGGAAAUAUCAAAACACAGUUUCACUUGCACUGAACCUAGGAAACUAGGGUAUAAGACGAGAUUCUGGUUCGAGUAGCUCAAUGUGCAAGGAAUUAUAAGAAAUAAAAUUUUCUGAAUGGUCUGAGUGAAAGUUGCAAGUAACCAGACUUGCAUAGGAUUUGGCAUGUGCUGGGAUAAGAAGCUAAGGGUAGCUCCCAAACGCUCAGACUUAUCUCCCUAGUGGAUGAAUAUGUGUGCGGUAAAACAGUUGGUAUGGCGAAGGUCGGUUGCAUAUACACAAUACA